CGCUAGGUUUCCGUCUGGCGCCGAUCCGGCUGCGUCACGCCGGCCGAACGACACCCCGCUGAGUCGCCGCCGCAGGGAAGGUACCUUCGGCCCCAACGGGAAAAGCCAAUUUCCAGUAAUUCGCGCCCGACCACCGGGGAGUGAAUGUUUCCCUCUGAGGAUGAAGAUCACUAUAAACAACUCUGAUGAGAUCAUGCUGACACAAUGCCCCUUCUGUCAAAGCCAUGGAUCCAAUUGUUGAAGGCUACAAAAAUAAGGACGUGACUUGACUCUCCUGCCUCUCUGCUUAUGUUCAAUUGAUAGCUGCUUCCAGAAACCUCACCGGCUCCUCAUCUCAACAGGCCAAAACUAUACCUCUUCAUAAGACCCAGCUUAGAUGGCAUCACCUCAAUAAAGCCUGCCAUGAUAACUUCAGCUAACAUCUGAGUUUCUCUCUAAAAUCCUCUUAUUAUACAAACCACAUUAUUAGUUAUCUAUAAACAUGUCUUUUCGAACACAGCAGGAGUUUCCUAAAAGCAGGUGCCACACAUGUAAUUCUCCAUAUUUUCAGUGUCCAACUCAAUGGCAUACAUCCAAAAACAUUCAUAAAUAUUGGUCAAAUAAAACAAUUUGAAGAUAUAAAUAAAAUAUUAAUAAUACAAUCAAUUAUAGUAGUUUUACAUACUUUAUAAAAUACAUUAUCAAAAAAAUGCAUUAUCAAUAUCUACCCCUGUACUCAACCUAAUUAGUUCAAACAAGUUACACUUAUAGACAUUUGAAUUGUUUUUUCUUUUUUUGAGACAGGGUCUUGCUCUCUUGCCCAGGCUUGAGCACAGUGGCACA
rnacentral:lncRNA from 1 species